rnacentral:rRNA from 1 species
GACGAACGCUGGCGGCGUGCCUAAUACAUGCAAGUCGAGCGAAUCAAUAGGAGCUUGCUCCUGUUGGUUAGCGGCGGACGGGUGAGUAACACGUGGGCAACCUGCCUGUAAGACUGGGAUAACACCGGGAAACCGGUGCUAAUACCGGAUAAUCCUUUUCCUCUCAUGAGGAAAAGCUGAAAGUCGGUUUCGACUGACACUUACAGAUGGGACCGCGGCGCAUUAGCUAGUUGGUGAGGUAAUGGCUCACCAAGGCGACGAUGCGUAGCCGACCUGAGAGGGUGAUCGGCCACACUGGGACUGAGACACGGCCCAGACUCCUACGGGAGGCAGCAGUAGGGAAUCUUCCACAAUGGACGAAAGUCUGAUGGAGCAACGCCGCGUGAGCGAUGAAGGCCUUCGGGUCGUAAAGCUCUGUUGUUAGGGAAGAACAAGUACCGGAGUAACUGCCGGUACCUUGACGGUACCUAACCAGAAAGCCACGGCUAACUACGUGCCAGCCGCCGCGGUAA